rnacentral:rRNA from 1 species
UACGUAGGGGGCGAGCGUUGUCCGGAUUCAUUGGGCGUAAAGAGCUCGUAGGCGGUUUGUCGCGUCUGCUGUGAAAACCCGAGGCUCAACCUCGGGCCUGCAGUGGGUACGGGCAGACUAGAGUGCGGUAGGGGAGAUUGGAAUUCCUGGUGUAGCGGUGGAAUGCGCAGAUAUCAGGAGGAACACCAAUGGCGAAGGCAGAUCUCUGGGCCGUAACUGACGCUGAGGAGCGAAAGCAUGGGGAGCGAACAGG